rnacentral:rRNA from 1 species
GACGAACGCUGGCGGCGUGCCUAAUACAUGCAAGUCGAACGAGUGGCGGACGGGUGAGUAACACGUGGGAACCUACCCAUCAGAGGGGGAUAACUAUUGGAAACGGUGGCUAAUACCGCAUACUAUCGGAUGAACCCAUAUGGGAUUAGCUCGUAGGGGGGGUAACGGCUCCCCUAGGCGACGAUCUCUAGCUGGUCUGAGCAGAUGAUCGCCCACAGUGGGACUGAGACACGGCCCAGACUCCUACGGGAGGCGGCAGUGGGGAAUAUUGCACAAUGGGCGCAAGCCUGAUGCAGCCAUGCCGCGUGUAUGAAGAAGGCCUUAGGGUUGUAAAGUACUUUCAGCGGGGAGGGGUUACCCGAAGAAGAAGCACCGGCUAACUCCGUGCCAGCAGCCGCGGUAAUAC